CAACAAAAAACAAAACGAAAACAACUGCAAAAAAAAUGAAGUGUGGACAGAGAUGCUCUGGAGAGGGGAGAGAGCCACUCAGAGGUGCAGAGAGAUGCUCUGGAGAGGGGAGAGAGCCACUCAGAGGUGCAGAGAGAUGCUCUGGAGAGGGGAGAGAGCCACUCAGAAGUGUGCAGAGAGAUGCUCUGGAAAGGUGAGAGAGCCACUGAGAAAUUUGCAGAGAGGUGCUCUGGAGAGGGGAGAGAGCCACUGGGUAGUGUGCAAAGACGUGCUCUGGAGAGGGGACAGCCACUCAGAAGUGUGCAGAGAGAUGCUCUGGAGAGGGCAGAGAGCCACUCAGAGGUGUGCAGAGACAUGCUCUGGAGAGGGCAGAGAGCCACUCAGAGGUGUGCAGAGAGAUGCUCUGGGGAGGGGAGAGAGCCACUCAGUAGUGUGCAGAGAGAGGAAAUCCUCGCCAGGUAGCCCCAGUCUCCCGGUUUCAUUCUUUCCUUCCCCUGAUGCGGAUGUGAAAGGCUCGCCCACAGUCGUUAAAAAAGACCCUUUUUUCCUGUGGUUAAACACGUGGCACUUUAUGGCUGCUUUGUAAUGAAGGGGUGAAAACUUUUCCUAACUUUGGCAGCACUGAAAACCAGAGCCAUUAUUUUUCCACAGAACCCAAGGUAAAUGCCAGGAACUUUCUGGUCAGAGAUUUCAGUCUUCUGUAUUUUGGGGUGAGGAAAAGGGACGAUAAUCACAGAGUGAAGCUAGAGGCCUGGAAGGAGCCUUUGGGCCCCUCAUCCACACCCCCUCAUUUAAAAACUGGGAAACUGAGGCUGGAGAACCACUUCAAGCCCGUGGGGAGAAUUAGUGGAUUGACCUGUAAGCCCAGGCGCUUUUCUUUUUUAAUGAAACUAAUGCGUCACAGCUCGAGGGUAAAGGGCCAUAGUUUUGGGGAUUGAAGAAAUCUAGGUUAAAAUCCCUUUCUGUCUGUUCGUUUCUGAGCCUCCGUUUCCCCAUUUGCACAUCUGUUAAAUGGGCGUUAGCUAUCACUUGGGGUUGCUGUAGGACUCACUGGCAUCACAUAGUAGAUUGUACCUUAUUACCAAUACUUCACCAUUUCUGACAUCCAAUUUCAUAAGGUUCAAUUGAAGGGCUGAGGUAAGUGCUUGAUAAAUGAUAGCUUAGUUACUGGAAGCAAAGGACUUCGGGAAGCCAAAGAUUAUCUAGAUCAUUCCAGCUAACCCAUUUCUUCUCAAGUUUGAUCUUAACUAUUUGGGGGGGGGGGCGGUUCUCAGGGAAAGACUAAACUCUGGAGAAUUUCACCUGUGGUGCCUCGAGGGGCCAGGUAGUUGCUCCAGGUGAGUGCGGCCCCUCCUUUCCGAGGCCGCCCGUUGCCGUGGUGCUGGCAGUGUGCGUGGACUCACGCCCCACGGCAGCCGACCCGCGCCAUGGAGUGGGCAUGCCAGUCCCGCUCUCUCUGGGGCCCUAGGACUUUGGUCUUGCCCUCAUCAGGGACACAUCACCUUACGCUGCAUGCCGGGUGCCCAGCUUCUCAGACCAGAAACGCUUCCAGGACAGGUAUGGCUGACCCUUCUGUGCCCCACUUUGCCCCUGUUUGGUGCUUUCAUCCAUCUUUGUGGAUUUCUUCGACUUCCCUCACGGAGAGAUCCUUAGGGGCUUACAGCAACCAAGAAGAGAAGGUCAAGGGAUUUCCAGGUGGAGAGAGGGGAUUUUGGAGAGUGGGAAAAGCCCCUUCAAUAGAAUUUCAGUUAACAUUUGGAUUUUUAACUAGGGGGAGUGUUUUUGGAAAUUUUAUAAUUGGAGCAAUGAACUGUGCUUGGAUUCUGGUGGGUGAGAUUACUGGGAAGACAGUUUUUCUGCGGGGUAGUGGGGGUGGGAGGAGGAAAGUUAGACACCGUACCAGGAAAUCAUAUUAGAAUCUCCUUGGGGCAUUAGCUUUUGAUUUUCCUCAAAGGGGAGCGAAGGUUACACAGAAGGGUUUGCAAAACCCUUCUGCAGACUAGCGGGACUGAAACACUUCAUAUCAAGGGAGUACACUUCAGCUCCCCUUGUAAGAAAGCCCCUUAUGCAUCCCUGGAGGGAGAAGGUAGCUGUUCUGGGCGAAGCAGCCUUCUAACUCACUCUGGCCCUCCAGGUUCCUGACAGGCGCUGUGCAGCGUACCAGCGGCACGCCGGCUCUGGAGGGUCACUGGCACAGGAACUGUGGGCAGUCGGCACUAUAAAUAGGCAGCCGCCACCUCCCAGACUGCUGGGCACACAGCACCGUGAGGCCAGACCCAUAGGUGCUGCUACUGCGAGGCCAGGGUGACUGGGCAAGGGCCCAGGACCAGCGUCCAGACGGUCACCCUGCAGACCAGGUUUACUGAUUGCAUCCUGCCUGCUAAGUACUUUCAUGCAUCUCCUGAUCUUAUCCUUGCAACCGUGCUGUGAGGUUGCAACCAUCACAGUGCCCUUCCCAAAUUGAAAACGGAGGCUCAGAAUGGUGAAGCCUGUUGCCUAAAUUCAGGGACAGAUUAGGACAGAACCCAGGUCUGCCUGGGCCCAAGAUGGAUGCUUUUCGCCUAGGCAGGGGCAGAUAGGGAGUAGGGAGUGUGCGAGAAGCAGGAGUGAGGGUACCUGAGAUCCACGCCCGGUUCUCCCACAUUCUAGCUGUGCGACCUGUGCGGGCCACUUACCCUCUGUCUGUGUCACUGCCAUCAUCUAAUCCAGGCCACGUUACAACCUCGCUGGGGGCAUUAAGUGAGAUGAAGAGUGUAAAGGCUCUUACGAUAGUGCCUGCCACACAGCAGUCGUGAUAGUAAGAGUGAGGAAAGAUUUGAACCCUGAUCCUACCUGGGCUGGACACCUGCCCAGCCCUGCCACUUACCAGCUGGGUGCCCAGGGCCAAGUCAUGAGCAUGAGCUUGGAGCCCACCUGCCUGGGUUCAAAUCCUGCCCCCCGCCCCCGCCCCCGCUCCUUCCCAGUGGUUGGGUCAGUAAGUCACCUUGCUGGGUCUCGCUUCCCUUCUCUGUGAGAUGCAGAUGAUAGAGCUCUUCCCUCGUGGGCUGGUGGUGAGGAUGAAUCCAGGUGACGCAGGUGAGGAACUGAUAGCAGCUCUGGGCUGAGUGUUCAAGAUGUAUGAGUUGCUGCCAAUGUUCUUCCC